rnacentral:rRNA from 1 species
GAUGAACGCUGGCGGCGUGCUUAACACAUGCAAGUCGAACGAAGCACCUUGAUUUGAUUCUUCGGAUGAAGAUCUUGGUGACUGAGUGGCGGACGGGUGAUUAACGCUUGGGUAACCUGCCUCAUACAGGGGGAUAACAGUUAGAAAUGACUGCUAAUACCGCAUAAGACCACAGCACCGCAUGGUGCAGGGGUAAAAACUCCGGUGGUAUGAGAUGGACCCGCGUCUGAUUAGGUAGUUGGUGGGGUAACGGCCUACCAAGGCGACGAUCAGUAGCCGACCUGAGAGGGUGACCGGCCACAUUGGGACUGAGACACGGCCCAAACUCCUACGGGAGGCAGCAGUGGGGAAUAUUGCACAAUGGGGGAAACCCUGAUGCAGCGACGCCGCGUGAGCGAUGAAGUAUUUCGGUAUGUAAAGCUCUAUCAGCAGGGAAGAAAAUGACGGUACCUGACUAAGAAGCACCGGCUAAAUACGUG